GCCUAGUUAGCUUAGACUGCUUAGAGCGUCUGCUUUGUAAGCGGUAGGUCGCGGGUUCGAUUCCUGCCCGGGACG
rnacentral:tRNA from 1 species